rnacentral:piRNA from 1 species
GCCUUUCGUUGUGCAUGCAUAGA